rnacentral:lncRNA from 1 species
GGAGAAGAAGGCGGGGCUAAAACUGGCGAAGGCGUGGCUUCUUGGCUGCUUGACGAAGUGUCGUGAAUAAAAGAAAGGAGACCGCAGAAGUAAAGAAGUGGGGAGUUUAGGUGUCUGCUUUUGGGGCAGAGUUUUCAUCGGAGGCAUGCAGAGAGUUAGGCUUUUCUAGCAACUUGCUUUGCAGCUCUUGUGAUCUUCUCGGACAGUUCAACCUGCUUCAGCUGGAUCCUGAUUGCAGAGGAUGCUGUCAGGAGGAAGCACAAUUUGAAACCAAAAAGCUGUAUGCAGGAGCUAUUCUUGAAGUUUGUGGAUGAAAAUUGGGAAGGUUCCCUCAAGUCCAAGCUUUUGUUAGGAGUGAUAAACCCAAACUGUUCAGAGGACUGCAAAUCAAGUAUGUCCGUGGUUCAGACCCUGUAUUAAAGCUUUUGGACGACAAUGGGAACAUUGCUGAAGAACUGAGCAUUCUCAAAUGGAACACAGACAGUGUAGAAGAAUUCCUGAGUGAAAAGUUGGAACGCAUAUAAAUCUUGCUUAAAUUUUGUCCUAUCCUUUUGUUACCUUAUCAAAUGAAAUAUUACAGCACCUAGAAAAUAAUUUAGUUUUGCUUGCUUCCAUUGAUCAGUCUUUUACUUGAGGCAUUAAAUAUCUAAUUAAAUCGUGAAAUGGCAGUAUAGUCCAUGAUAUCUAAGGAGUUGGCAAGCUUAACAAAACCCAUUUUUUAUAAAUGUCCAUCCUCCUGCAUUUGUUGAUACCACUAACAAAAUGCUUUGUAACAGACUUGCGGUUAAUUAUGCAAAUGAUAGUUUGUGAUAAUUGGUCCAGUUUUACGAA